rnacentral:rRNA from 1 species
UACAGAGGGGGCAAGCGUUGUUCGGAAUUACUGGGCGUAAAGGGCGCGUAGGCGGCCUGUUAAGUCGAACGUGAAAGCCCUGGGCUCAACCCAGGAAGUGCAUUCGAAACUGCAGAGCUGGAGUCCUGGAGAGGAAGGCGGAAUUCUCGGUGUAGAGGUGAAAUUCGUAGAUAUCGAGAGGAACACCGGUGGCGAAGGCGGCCUUCUGGACAGUGACUGACGCUGAGACGCGAAAGCGUGGGGAGCAAACAGG